rnacentral:rRNA from 1 species
AUUGAACGCUGGCGGCAGGCCUAACACAUGCAAGUCGAGCGGAUGAAGGGAGCUUGCUCCUGGAUUCAGCGGCGGACGGGUGAGUAAUGCCUAGGAAUCUGCCUGGUAGUGGGGGAUAACGUCCGGAAACGGGCGCUAAUACCGCAUACGUCCUGAGGGAGAAAGUGGGGGAUCUUCGGAACUCACGCUAUCAGAUGAGCCUAGGUCGGAUUAGCUAGUUGGGGGGGUAAAGGCCUACCAAGGCGAGGAUCCGUAACUGGUCUGAGAGGAUGAUCAGUCACACUGGAACUGAGACACGGUCCAGACUCCUACGGGAGGCAGCAGUGGGGAAUAUUGGACAAUGGGCGAAAGCCUGAUCCAGCCAUGCCGCGUGUGUGAAGAAGGUCUUCGGAUUGUAAAGCACUUUAAGUUGGGAGGAAGGGCAGUAAGUUAAUACCUUGCUGUUUUGACGUUACCAACAGAAUAAGCACCGGCUAACUUCGUG